GUUUUGGACUGCAGACAGUGCACAGCUCUGGUGCAUGGGGACUCGUGCAGUGCUUUAGCAAGUGACAGACAGCUCAGCUCUAUGAUAGAAAUGAUAUAAUGUGAAUAAAUGCCCACGGAUAUUCCAGGGAUAGUGUCCUGGCCCUCUUAGAUACUCACAGGCUGCUCUCAGGUCUCCCCAGAGCCUUCUCUUCUCCGGGCUGCACAGCCCCAGCUCUCAGCCUGUCCCUGUAGGGAAGCUGUUCCAUCCCUUGGAUCAUUUUUGUGGCCCUCCUCUGGACGCACUCCAGUAGAUCAACG
ensembl:lncRNA